GAUGAACGCUGACAGAAUGCUUAACACAUGCAAGUCAAGUUGUGGCGGACGGUUGCGUAACGCGUACAGACCUUGCCUCACCGAUAGGCACACCAUUUGGAAACGCAUGCUAAUCCCUGCUACUGUGAGAGAGCUUUUCGUCCCAUUAGCUAGUUGGAGAGGUAACGGCUCACCAAGGAGAUGAUGGGUAGCCGGCCUAAGAGGGUGAUCGGCCACAAGGGGAAGGAGAAACGGACCUUACACCUACGGGAGGUAGCAGUGGGGAGUAAGGGAGAAUGGACCAAAGUCGGAUACAGCAAUUCUUUGAUCACGAUGAAGUUUUCGGAAAGUAAAGUGCUUUCAGGUGGGAAGCAGUACCAUCAGAAGAAGUGACGGCUAAAUACGUGCCAGCAGCCGCGGUAAUAC
rnacentral:rRNA from 1 species